rnacentral:lncRNA from 1 species
ACUCACCAUCCAACGUAUUUCUGCUUGAAUUACGCAUUGAUUGGACAGAAAAUCUGAAUUACUAGUUCAGAACCAGCAGAGGUCGGUCAUAGGCUACACCGUCUGUGUUAACGUGCAAGUGCCUGUUGUGUCAAAAGAUAAAAACAAAUAAUUUCAUUUGAUUUUCAAAUCUCACAAUCUUCAAACAAAAUUCCAGCAAAAAUGAGCUCCAUAAACAAACAAUAUGGCACAUGGGCGAGGUUACAUUACAUGUUAAACAAGUGGAAAAACAGUUGCUACUAUCCUAGAAACAUAAUUUUAAGCAUUUACUGUAAUAUGAAAUUUAGAAUAUGUACACCAUAUUUAUCUUCCUGAAAAUAACAUCACUUCUGACUUCACCGGGUGUGUAUGCAUACAACUUCAAACUUACCACUCAAUUCAAACUAAUAAUACCCUCUUACUCUAGAAAUACCACACUAACAGCUAUGCUAUUAGCCUAUUACACAAGGAAACCACCAUCACUCCAUAACAACAAUGCUACGUAAAAAAGACUCGCAUACACACACAUGCAUACUGUGGACCCCCACCUGACAUGUGAAUCCCACAAAUAUGCAUGUGUAUGCGAACAUUAUGUGAGCCACCAUUAUGUUGAAAUAGUAGCAUUAUUUCAACAUAAAGGAUCACUGGGUCCAUGUCAUCCACUGUUGAUUCACCACGAUCCACAUUUUGGUUGCAGACAUUGUUAAUGACCGUGCUAACUUCAAAAAUGUCAAGCCUCCUGUCCUAUUGUUAAGUGGUGCAUAUCUUGAUCGCUGUAACAAAUAUCAUACAUUUAGCACAAUCAAAUACUUGGAAUUAACUUAUAUAUGAACAUGCACUAAAGCAAACUCAAAGAAUAUAGUAGAGCAAUGGCUUGAAUGGAAUGAGUGAUCAUCAUGUGAGGGCAUUACAGGCAGCAUGAAUAUAUUGUGUUCAACUGCAAAGCAGAUCCCAUAAUUUACUUUUGCACGUUGUGGUCAGGCAUCAGGAAAAAUUUAUGUUUACAGAGCCUCAGUACUUGUGGUGUUAUUGAAGUAAACCUAAUCAAGUAUAAGAUUGAAAAACUGAAGCAAUAUUCAUAAAGGCUCAGUAUCAACUAUCAAACUUAGAAAUUCUUUCUGAGAUUAUAACAUACACCUUAAAUGGUGAUUUCAAUCAAUCUAAGGCAAUGAUGGUUUAAUAAGAUGGUGAACUGAAGUAAGAGCUAUAUUUUGUGUAGACGGUAGACCGGCAAUGUGGUUUAUCAGAUACACACUUUUAGAAUAAAGAUUAAUUAAAUAAAUACAAUAACAAAUUGGUGGUGGAGAUUUGAGGGGAUGAUGACGUGGAUUAGAAAGGACCAAUGGAAUAUUAGAUUAUUUUUUUUUGGGUUGUGUUACAUAGCGCUGAAUUUGGACGAUUGUUUAGUAAUUAAUUAGUUUUGAUUUUAAAAGAAUACGAUUUGUUUCUGGAGAGAGUAAAAACUUCAGGGAGAGAAAGUGUAAAAUAAUUUAGAGAGAGAAUGUAUAAAAAAAUUAUUGAGAGAAGUCAAAAAGAACAUAAGAAAUUAAUAUAUUAAAUAAUUUAUUUUAUUGGGACAUAAAUAAUAAGCUUCAAAUUUGAAAAAUGAGCUGACUUAUAUUGGAACCAUAACAAUUUGGUUCUAACCCAUAUAGCUAAUAUUAAAAAUAAGUAAUAUGGUUUUAGUUUUUAAUGGAACCAUAAUCAUAUUCUAUAACUCAUAACCAAACUAAAUCCAUUUUUUGUCAAGUCUAAUUUUGUGUAAUCCUUUCUCAUAAGUAACUAAAAGAGGGAUUGAAGUCAGUCUGGACACAUGAUCUUAAUCAUCCACAAGAUUUAGGUUGUGUUUAUUAAAAUUGAAUGUUAAAAUAUGAAGAGUUAAGACUUCAGAAUAAUUUAGAGCAUCUGUUUAAAAUUGUAUCUGAAUGAAGAAAUGUUGUUUGAUAACUAAUUUUUUCAAAUUGUCUAAAUAAUAGUAUUUUACCAUUUUAACCCUCUGAUCCUAAAAAAACGAGAGACUAUCGUUCAUCUCCAUUUUUUUCAACUUUUACAACCCAUUUUUCUAGACUGAUCCACUCUUGUUGUUUAAGCUUUUCUACUUCUUCUUUUGAGAUCAGAACUAUAAUGAAACAAAAAUCCUCAUGGCAACUAUUUUCCUUGUCUGGAUGCUUUGUUCUUCACAUAAUGUUCGAAUCUCCUCUUUGUCUCUAGGAUCCAUUGUGAAAGUAAUUAUGCAAUUCUCCAAAUUAUUUACAAAGCGAGACUUUUUUUUUCAUGAAUUUGUUCAACAACGAAAUGGGUAUGAGAUUUGGUGGGUUUUUCUUCAUGAAAAUGGUCAAAAACGAAUUGGAUCUCUGUAGUGGGUGUUAAUGAUUCUUGGGAUCUAAAAUUAUAGAGUGAUAGAUUUGAGGCGUUCAAGAACAAAAUUUGAUUUAGUUAAUUUGGGCUAUUGUGGGUCAUUUUGAUGAGAUUCUUGCUCUUGUUUUCCUUUAUUUUGUUGUUUUUUUUAUUUGAUAAUCUUGAUCUGAAAAAGAUAGUGCGUAUCAUCAAAUUUAGAAGAACAAACAGAAUAGUGGAAGUAAACCAACUGUUUAUGGCUGCCCAAAUCGAAGGAUUUGAUGCAAGAGGGAUUCUUUGCUUUGUUCUUUAAUUUGUGUAUUUUAUUAGAGGGAUACAAGAGGAAUUUUGUAAUAUUGAAAAUGUUAUUUUGGUCCAAAAAAAGACAACUUUCAUUCAAAUUUUACUCUAAAUAGUUUAGAUUUAAUUUUGUAUCUUAACGAUUUAGAGGCAUUCAGAGGAAAAAAAAAGUUCACCAAACAACUUCAUGCCUCUUACCGAAUAAGAGGUGGGUUGUUAAGAUGCAUUAAAAUUCAAUUAAACACCAACCAUUGAACAUAUCCUGUUCAUAAAAGGUUGUUAAUUGUGUGGAAGCAUGAUUAAGUUAAAAAGAAUCCAAUGUGGAUAUUAUGUUUAACUCUUCUGCCAAUAACUUAAUUCUUCAUAUUUCUCCACAUUCUUGAGAAUAUAUGGUAAAAUUGGAGAAGAUGCCAGAGAAAUUUAGUUUUAUAGGACGUUUUACUAGUUCUUAGAAUCAUGUAGGCCAUUAUUUAUGUUACUCUUCUUAUCUAUUUAUGCCAUGCAUGUAUCUAAACUAGAAUUCUUAUUCUCUUCAUAUAUAGCAAAGAAAAUAAAAUUUUAAACUUUUCUUUUAUUCAAGUGGUUAGUGAAAGUUACAAUGGGAUGUUAAUUAUGAGGCAGCUAAUAAAUUGUAGUCCACAAUUCUUCUUUUUAUGUUUACAGGCAGAUUUACUCACCCCAAUUUCUUCUCCUUAUAUCUACCUAAACAAGAAUUCUUCUUAUUUUCCCGAAGUAUCAAAAAAAUUCUCUUUUUUAUUCAGAUUUAUAUAUAAAUUAUGUUCUGUAACAUUUGUAAUGAAUAUAUAUAUAUAUAUAUAUAUAUUCUUACAAUUGACAUAUAUUGCACAAGUAUCGUGUGUGCUCAAAAAACAAGUUAGACUCAAAAGUCAAUCAAGACAUGUUCAGAAUUAAACUUGAGCAUGUAAAAAGGCUGACAAAUAUUUCAAACCCAAAUGCAUAAACUAUGAUGUAAACGCAAUAAUAAAUGUCAUAGUAUCAACAGAAAAAUCAUACCUUCAUUGAGUAGCCAAGAGUCAAAGACAAGUAAGCUUAGGAUGUGCGCUAAUAGAUAGAGAUGAUCAUGGCACCUAACAGUACCAACAUCCACUACUAUGUCAAGCACAUCCCUAAGGUGGGUGUCAAAGAAUUACUCUAUGGAGUAUGGACCUCAAGUGGUAAAAUACAGCUCCUUGACCUGCCAUUUGGGCACCAUUAUUAAGUGGAACUACUGAUCAUGGCAGCACACUAUACAAAAACUGUAUGACCAUAAGGUGGAAUUUUUUUCAGAUUCAUAAUUAUCUAAACAAUUCAAAGAAGAAACUACAAAAUAUAAUUCGGAUAAUAAGAAAAUCAACAACAAAAAAUAUUUUAUUUGAGUAAUAUCUGUAGACAUUGUGAGGGCAUUACAGGCAGCAAAAACACGAGUAAGCUGAAGCUGCAAAGCGGAUCCCCCAUAACUUAAUUUUGCACUACAUUGAGAUCAGGCAUCUGGAAACUUAGUAGUUACAAAGCCUCAGUACUCGUGCAAUAAUACACUUAUUUAAUAAUCUUUAUGAAACUAUGGAAGGAGGGAAAACACGAUUCAGACAAGGUAAAUGUCCAAUUUUUUUUCAUUUUCUUAAAAAAUAAAAAAUAAAAAAUAAAUAAAAGUUUAAAAAAUUGGCUCUCAAAUAGGACAUUAAUUGUGAGAAGAGGACUCACAUAUCACGUAAUUGCAAUCACCAUUCCAGAAACUAGGAGGCAAACAGAAAUUCUACAAUUUGAAGUAGAAAUAGAGCCUACUAAUUUUUCUUUUCCAACAACAAAAAAAAAAAACUUUUGGAUUUGUAGAUUUAUGUCUAAGCUUCAAGAAGUGCAUGAGCAAUCAUUUGUAGAUAACAGCCAAACAUAACACACUUACAUCCAAGCUUCAAACAUAUAUAGUUACCUGCUUUCAGAAUCGAGCUUGAUGCCAUUGCCAUGGUGAGCUCAACUCACAGCGGGAGUUAAAUGUAAGGAUAGUUUUUAGUAUUUAUUGACGAACGAACAUAUACUGUUCCCGACUAAAAUUAGGGCUCUACUGCAGAACGAAAAACCUAAAAAUUGCCCUGUACAGUCAAUUUU